rnacentral:rRNA from 1 species
UAGGGAAUCUUCCACAAUGGACGCAAGUCUGACGGAGCAACGCCGCGUGAGUGAAGAAGGUUUUCGGACCGUAAAGCUCUGUUGUUGGUGAAGAAGGAUAGAGGUAGUAACUGGCCUUUAUUUGACGGUAAUCAACCAGAAAGUCACGGCUAACUACGUGCCAGCAGCCGCGGUAAUACGUAGGUGGCAAGCGUUGUCCGGAUUUAUUGGGCGUAAAGCGAGCGCAGGCGGAAGAAUAAGUCUGAUGUGAAAGCCCUCGGCUUAACCGAGGAAUUGCAUCGGAAACUGUUUUCUGAGUGCAGAAGAGGAGAGUAGAACUCCAUGUGUAGCGGUGGAAUGCGUAGAUAUAUGGAAGAAUACCAGUGGCGAAGGCGGCUCUCUGGUCUGCAACUGACGCUGAGGCUCGAAAAGCAUGGGUAGCGAACAGGAUUAGAUACCCUGGUAGUCCAUGCCGUAAACGAUGAGUGCUAAGUGUUGGGAGGCUUCCGCCUCUCAGUGCUGCAGCUAACGCAUUAAGCACUCCGCCUGGGGAGUACGACCGCAAA